AUUUAGCCCCGACAGAAGGGAUAAACCUUGUGCACCGGGGUUCGGCGGACAAGUUUAGGAAUGAUGGCGGGUACGAUG
rnacentral:misc_RNA from 1 species